ACCGGCGAGGCCAUGAUCAAAACCCCACAAGCUUUAUGAGCUUUGACAUUGAAAAGGUUGCGAGUAGCAGCUAAGCUCCAAGAACUGGCGCGGUUCUGGGCUUUCAGCUCUGACCUUGCCACAGGUUGGUCCUCAGCUGGAAACUGAAAGAAACUGCAUGGCCCUUGCACUACGCUACGCCCAUUGCUUCAGCUUCAGCACCGUGAAACCUCAGGCCAGUCUGAGCGAUGUGCAAACAGCAGAUGCCAAACUCUGCUGACCAAACUUCCAGCAGCUUGAUCUCAGCAUAGCAGACUGGAAAAUCAGAGCCCUGCAGUCAGUUUAGUUCAACACUGUGGCAAGCAUUUGCUGUUUGUCUUUUGUCCCAUGGAGCUUUCUCGAGCCUGCAGACUGCAGUUUAGGUUCUCCAGUAUCUUGACCAAAGAGCAGUGGUUUUGCUCAGCUGUAACCGGCUGGAUAAAAUUCUGAAGCAUCGUGCGAGCUGACAGCACUUGCAUCGUCGCUGUAGGCGAAGGCGAGGGAUCAUCUUCAGCGGCAGCAAAGGUGUUCUGAAAUGGGUUGGCGACUCGUCCAUCCCACGCCAUCAGUCGUCUGCACAGCAAGUCAGCAAGGCCCGCGAUGGCAACGACUUUGUGCUGCCCGCUCUGUAGCCAGAGGUCCAGAACUGCUAGCUGCAGCUUGAUGAGCAAAACUGUUGAAGAAACAAAACUACUGCAGCUUGGCCCCU